CGUUUCUGUUGAAAAAUAUUUCAUUAGACUCUUAUUUGUUUCAGGUUAUAAAAUCAUACAAGAGAGAGAUCUUGCGCUCAACAGAUUCACUACUCAAAACUGUGACUAAUAACUCGCAAAUUCUCUGACAUGAGAGAGUGAUCUUGCGCUCAACAGAUUCACUACUCAAAAAAUCAUUUUCUCACCUCACUACUCAUAAGCAAUCUCGUGAAGGAACCUUACCUGCAUCUAGAAAAUCAUAGCCGAGGUGCUAGCUGAGCUUCAUUUCGUCAAAUCAACACAUAUAUGUGCUCUCGAACGGAAAUCAUUUGAUGAAUAUAUAAGCUUAGUAUAUUAUAAAUAGGCAUUUUAAUGAAUUACGUAAAUAUGAUUCUGUUUCUUUAGAAAAAAUGGCGAGAAUACAAAGUUAUCGUUGUGAACUAACUGAACUAUUGGAGACGCAUCACCAAUUAUUGGACCAGUUAGCAGAAAAAGGAUGGACAAAUCUACAAUAUUUAACAUUUGUGAGAGAUUAUGAAAAAUUAGGAGUUUGGCAUAGUGAUAACUAUAAUCAUAUUUUAGUUUGUGAAUUAUACGGUACAUCAUAUGAUAAAUUCUGGGAGAAUGGCAAUAUCCCAGGCUCAUACAGAUGUGAUUGUGGUCAUCUUAAAGAGUCUAUCGAUAAAAUUAAGAAGGUUAUAACAGAAAAAAAUAAACAUUUAACAAAAGAACAAUUAAAUAAACUUAUCUGGAAUUUUUUACGAGAUUCUACAGAUGAGACAGGCUUAGAACAAGAUUGAUAGC